CAGACACUGGAUCAGACACUAAACGAACUU
rnacentral:piRNA from 1 species